ACGUAGGGUGCAAGCGUUAAUCGGAAUUACUGGGAGUAAAGCGUGCGCAGGCGGUUAUAUAAGAAAGAUGUGUAAUCCCCGGGCGCAACCUGGGAACUGCCUUUGUAACUGUAUAACUAGAGAAAGGCAGAGGGGUAUGGAAUUUCGCGUGGAUCAGUGUGAUGCGUAGAUGUGCGGAGCAACGCCGAAGGCGAAGGCAAUCCGCUGGGCCUGUACUGACGCUCCUGCAGGAAAGCGUGGGGAGCGAUCAC
rnacentral:rRNA from 1 species